AUCGACACCAGCUGCAUCUCCAUUUGCCGCACGUCCUUCACCCCUCAGCUCCACGAUCGUCUGCUCCACUAUCCAUCUUCACGCUGCCUCUCACGCCAGCUCACGGUCAACACCAGCAACAAGCGGAGCCUUCGGUUGACUGAGCAUCAUUUCCUUGCUGCCACUUGGCCGCAUCUACCUCUUCUUCGGUCAACAAGCGGACACUGAAGACCACGAGGAAGCCUGCAUCUCGUCCGCAACACCAGUCCACGCGUCUUCAGUCACGAAGCUUCAGUCCGUGCGUCCACGAGGGUCUUCGGUCAGCAAUUUCAACCGAAAGAAUUCCAGAACCCCAGCGAAGGCUUCGUUGACCAGCCGUAUCCACCGAAGCUCCAGUGGCCACGGAUUACAGCAUCCUCGUCCAUCCAUGGCGUGUCUUCAAUUCACGCUCGAGCAGCCUUUGCUGCUUCUGUCCGGCCCACCAGCUCACGCAAAUCAGUGAGCCCAGCAGUAGUUCCAGCGAACUGGAAGUCCAUCUCAUUUGAAGCCACUUAAAUUGCAGCUCAGCCACUUCAGUUCAACGUGCAGCCCAUUUGUCUUCAAGCCCAGUUGAAAUUAAUCAGCUGCAGCCCAAAUGAUCAGCAUUUUGGUCCAUCAAGCAGCCUGCAGUUUGACAUCUUGAAGCCCAGCAAAUUUUGACCCAAGCUUCAGCCCAAGUUGUUUGAAAGGCAGGCCCAAUUCAGCUUUGUUUCAAGCCCAAGUUCAGGUUCAGUCCAAGGAUUCCAGCUAGGCCCAAGCCCAAGAGCAAGCCCAUUCCAGUGCAAGAACAAAUCUCAGUUGGGCUGAGAUUUGUUGGGGCCAAGUCCAAGGCCCGGUCCAAGUACGCCGGUGUCGUCGAAAGUCCGAUUUCGGCCGCCGCCGCGUCGCCGUUGCGGUGAUUCGGUCUCCGCUUUUGUCAAGUGAGUUUUACUCACUAAUGCUUUAUUAGUUUGCUAAUUAUGCUUAAGGUUGGUUAGAUUUAAUUAAGUGCAAUUAGGUGGUUAGAUUAGGUUAGAACAAUUAAAUUAGUGACUUGAGGAUGCAUGUUAGGUGGUUAGACCUAGCUAUUAGCAAGUAGAAAUGUUUGGUUAUUUAUUGAAUGCAUCUCGGGAUUUUUCCCGACCCGUUUCGGGCUCCAAUAAGGCAAUAUAGGCCUAAAUUGGAUUUUUAAUGUUUAUUUAUUUAUUUCCGAAAUUUAUUUAUUUAAUUAAUUAUUUUUCCGGAAAUUCAACCGGGAUGGCCGGUGACCGGAAUUUCGUGCCGAUUGUCGUGGUGCAGACCGUUUAUUUAUUUGAGCUCUACGUUGUGUGGAAUUGAAUUUAUUGUGGAAUUUUAGGAAUUGUCCUAAAUUGUUUGUUAUUGAGUAUUUGAUUGGUAAUGGCUAAGCUUGGAUAUAUAGCGCCAGUACGUUGAUGGGCUAUAUAGUAGGGAGAAUGGUGAGACCAAUCAGGUACGAUAUUAUUGGACAUACGUGGUUCGGUGAUUGGAAGUAUCACUGGCGAAAACGGCGCCUUAAAGAACGCACGUAAAUGACUUAUAGACACACGUGGUUCGGUGAUUAUGGGAAUAUCACUGGUGAAAACGGCGCCUUAAAGAACGCACGAUGUUGUCUAUAGCCGAUGUCACCUUGGCGAAAACGGCGCCCUUGAGAAGACACGUGGUUCGGUGAUCAAGGUUAUCACUGGUGAAAACGGCGCCUUAAAGAACGCACGGUGUCGGUGAUCGGUAUGUCAUUGGCGAAAACGACGCCCGAGAAACACAUGUGAUUUGGUGAAUGAGUACACCACUGAGAAAGCGUGGUACGAGUGGGAAUGACCGAGAGAGGGUCUAAUUGACAUGUAAUCGACUUAGUCGAUUGGCCAAUGUUUGAUCGUAUGUCGUGAAUUGUUUGAAUAUCUGUGUUUAACCUUGAAUUGCAGGUUGGAAUUGAGGCUAAGGUAAGUCCUCUGACUCGUGUUGUGCUUAGGCAACCGGAUGGCGUAUUAGUUUAUUAAUCGAGUCUUAGUGGGUAGGACUCGCUGAGACGUGGUCUCAUUGGUUAUUGAAUAACCAUUUCAGGACCCUGAGGAAAAGCUGAGGAAGGAGAAGCUGAGGAAGGAGAAAGUAUUUUGAAGUAGAAGAUGAUCCAGAGAGGGAUCUUGAAUAUAAACCGGAUGUGGAUUGAGAUCCCAUCCCUUUUGUGCACCUUGUCUUAGUGUAGAUAGGUGUGAGACUUUUAUGCUGUAAAUAAUAUUGUAAAUAUACCAUGAGUGGUGAUGUUAAUGAAAGUGUGGUUGUGAAUUUCAAUAUGAAAAAUAUGGCCUACUUUCCUAUCCCAUUGUUUUAUUGUCUGGGGAUUUAUAACUGCUUCCGCAUGUGCUUAAUAAAAAGAAAGGGUCGGCGAUACAUAGUCCUGGGAUAUCGCAUUCUAAAAUCGACCAAGUAGAAGGAUGUGCACGCGUCCGAGGAUCGGGGCGUGACAUACCCUUUUUGUGGUAUCAGAGCGAAGGUUGAAGAUUGGAGUGAUAAGGAGCGUUGACCAUGGGAUAGUUAGUAGGAAAGGCCUUUAAAUUCAUGCUGGUGUAUGUCUGUGUUAGCUGAGUGCUAAAAUUGGUUGUGGUGUGUGGAUCGCUCACCUUCUAAUCCAGUGUGGAAUUGGAAGUCGGGUUGCAGUGUAAAGACUGAACCAUGAGCGAGCAGGAGCUAAGAACUCCUAGUAAGAGGACAAUGUCCUUUGUAACUCGGGAUGAUGCACUGACUAAGGUCAGUACCCGAGGUGGUUGUGGCAGAGUGUUGACUCUGGCCAGCUCGAGUGUAAGAGUACCACCGCAGGUUGGUACUAGUGUAGCAGCGUCGAAUGAUCCUAAGUUCGAUAGGAUUGUUCUGAUGCAAGUGUUCCUUGGGUUCUAAAUGAGCCAGUAAGAUCAAGAUCAAGUUAUUGUUGUUGCCACCUUUGCUGAGGUUCAACCUGGAAGGAUGAUCAGGGAAUAGAUUUUGAUAUUUGAGUCAAGAUUCAGUGCAGGCAGACGUGGAAUUUGGUUAGGGAAAAGACUGAUGUUGAGAGAAGAGUAUUCUAUUCCACUUAAUAGGAAGGGUGGAAUAGUCAGGUCAUCAUUCAGACAAAUGGACUUGUUGUUCCAUGGAAGAUGGUAUGGAUCAGUCUCGUUUAUUCUGAGGACGGGAAUUCGUGGUAAGUGUCGCCAGCAUGAAUGGCGAGUUAUGGGUUGUCCACAUAAGUAGAUGAAAGCUCGACAACGGUUACUGCUGUCACCGUCGAUAAGACAGGUCAGAAAAAGUGCUUCAUAGAAUGCACUAUGGAAUUUUGGGAUAGGUCUCUGAUGCAAGAAAUAGUGCACGCUAGCACUUGAUAGGAGAUAGAAGACACACCAGAUAAGUGUCAGAAUUGUAGAAGGAGGCAUGGAUAAAUCCAAUGUCCGAGUAUGAUUAGAACAUGUUGUGAUGAUGACUAGCAUGGCCAUCAGGUGAAGGAUUGUCAGUGGAAGUCCAAGGUAGCAUAGGCAUCGCUACUGCGGUAGAACGCCAUUAGGAUGGCGAAAGAAAUGGGAGUAGAAUUGAUCUUGCACCGAUUAGAGAAAGAAUUUAUUGGAGGUGAUUUUAUCAGAGUAACGUAGCAGAGUUUUGUGCUGAGUUCGUAGAACUUAAAUUGUUGAAGUAAGAGUGAAAGAGAAGGGAAUCACUAGCAAUAGUUGUGCUUGACUAGUUGCUGAGGUGUGAGUUCAACGCCACAUAAAUAGUGUGAGUACAUAAAGCAUCUUGCGAUAAGGAAUCAUGGUCAUGGAAUAAUCCAGUUUAGUCUAUUAGUUUGCAAAAAUAGCAAGAUUAUUAAGAGUCGAAAAGAAUCUUCGAUUUCAUUAAUCUCGUUGGCUAAAGACAAUCCGUUUGUUAGACGGAGGUUGCCAAGAUUGAUUGACAGCGGUAGUGGAUGUGUCAGUUAAGAAAUAGAAUGAGAAGAAGGUGGCUGUGAUACAGAAAAUUUAUAAGAUGGUUCCAAAGGAAUUGCUUGGGUUACCGCCAGAAAGGAAGAUUGAAAUUGCAAUUGAGAUAGCACCAGGAUAGAGCCGCUCUCGAAGGCUUCUUACCAGCUGUUGUUGUCUAAAGUGGUAGAAUUGAAGAUGCAGAUGUGAAGAUUGAUGAAUGAGGAAUUCGUGUAUAUCGGUGCAUCACUUUUGGGAAACAUCGGUUUUGUUAAUGAGAAGAAGAAAGAUGGUUUAUUGCGAGUGUGCAUCAACUAUCGUCAACUCAAUUAGGUGAAGAUCAAGGACAAGUGUUCUUUGCCAAAGAUCAAUGAAUGGUGUGACUAGUUAUAAGAGUAUCGAUGUUUUAAAGGUUGACUUGAGAUUAUGAAGUCGUUAGUUACGAACUAGGAAGGAGGUUGUACGAAAGACAGCUGUUCGUACUUGAUAUGGUCUUUACGAGAGUAUUGUAAGAUCGUUUGGCUUGGUGAACACUCCAGUUUCUGUCAUGGAUUUGACAAACAGAACGUUCAAUGAAUAAGUAGAUCAUCAGUUUGUGAUUGUGUUCGUUGAUGACAUCUUAGUCUAUUCGAGAAGUGAUGAAGAGCAUGAGAAUCAUCUGAGAUUAGUGCUUCAGACCUUAAGAACUCAUCACCUAUAUGCUAAGUUUAGCAAAUGCGAGUUUGGUUGACUUGUGUCGCGUUCUUAGGUCAUGUAAUUUCCGGAGAAGGAAUCUCCGUCGACCCGAGCAAGAUAGAAGCCGUGAUCAAUUGGCAGAGACCGACAUCAGUGACAGAAAUCAGAAGUUUUCUGGGAUUAGUAGGUUAUUACAGACGGUUUGUGGAAGGGUUCUCAUCGAUAGCAUCGCCUCUGAUAAAGCUCCCGAAGAAAAAUGAGAAGUUCAUAUGGUCAGACAAGUGCGAGCGUAGUUUCCAAGAGCUGAAGGAAAAGCUUACUACCGCACCUGUGCUGACGAUUCCAUAUGGUCCUGGAGGAUUCGAGAUCUAUAGUGAUGCGUCAUUCAGGGGAUUGGGUUGCGUGCUAAUGCAACAUGGCAGAGUUGUUGCAUACGCUUCCAGGCAGUUGAGACCUCAUGAAUUGAACUAUCUGACGCAUGACUUAGAGCUCGCCGCGAUUAUCUUUGCCCUGAAGAUUUGGAGACAUUACUUGUGCGGGGAAAAGUUUCAGAUCUUCACGGACCAUCAAAGUCUCAAGUAUUUAUUCUCUCAAAAGGAGUUGAACAUGAGACAUCGCAGAUGGAUGGAAUUGCUGAAAGACUACGACUGUGACAUUCUGUAUCACCCAGGAAAGGCGAGCAAGGUCGCCGAUGCUUUGAGUCGAAAGUCUUCAGUGGCUCAUAUACUGAUUAAGGAAUGGAACUUAAUCGAGAGAGCUCGAGGUUCGGUAUUCAAAUUUGAGGUAGGCCGCCUUUCAAGUUUUAUGGCCGCCCUCAGAAUUGAACCGGAUGUCCAAGUCAGAAUUAAACAACUCCAAUCGACAGACCCAGAUGUACAGAGAAUUCUUCAGGAAGACGCAGAGAAAAGAAAGGUUGAUUUUCAGAUUGCUGAUGGCGGGACACUAAGAUUCCAAGGACGUUUGGUUGUACCUGACGAUGUAGAGCUUAGAGAAGAAAUUUUAUCUUAAGCACAUCGUAGCAGUUACAGCAUUCAUCCUGGAAGCACUAAGAUGUAUUAGAAUUUGCGUCAACACUACUGGUGGUCAAGUAUGAAGGCUGACAUCGCCAAGCAUGUGACCAAGUGUUUGACUUGUCAGCAAGUAAAAGCCCAGCAUUGCAAGCCGGGAGGACUUUUGCAACCUCUCGUGAUCCCAGAGUGGAAAUGGGAACAUAUCACGAUGGACUUCGUGACUGGACUACCAAGGAGUCAGAGGGGGAAUGAUUCGAUAUGGGUAGUAGUCGAUAGGCUGACAAAGUCGGCUCACUUCAUUGUAGUUCGAAAGGACCUGAGUCUGGAUAGAUACGCAGACCUGUAUGUGCGUCAGGUGGUUCGAAUGCAUGGAGUGCCGGUUACGAUAACAUCUAAUAGAGACCCGAGAUUUACUGCUGCAUUUUGGAAGAGCUUGCAGAGUGCUCUUGGUAUAAAGCUUCAAUACAGUACGGCUUAUCAUCCUCAGACGGAUGGCCAGUCCGAGAGGACAAUACAAACCCUCGAGGACAUGUUGAGAGCGUGUGUUAUAGACUUCAAGGGAAGUUGGGAAGAUCAGCUUCAUCUGGUAGAAUUCGCCUACAAUAACAGUUAUCAGCAGAGUAUUCAGAUGGCCCCAUUUGAAGCGUUGUAUGGCAGAGCAUGCAGAACACCAGUAUGUUGGGAUGAAGUCGGGGAAAGAAAGAUAACAGGCCCAGAGUUGGUUCAGCAGUCAGUAGAUGCCGUGACAGUGAUCAGAGACAGAUUAAAGACAGCGCAGAGCAGGCAGAAAAGUUAUGCAGAUAAGCGUCGAAGGUCUUUGGAAUUCCAAGUUGGUGAUCACGUUUUUCUGAAGGUGUCACCAAUGAGGGGAACUUCGCGCUUUGGUAAGAAAGGCAAACUGAGUCCGAGGUACGUAGGUCCGUUUGAGAUUCUUGAGAGAAUCGGGACCUUAGCGUAUAGUCUUGCGUUGCCGCCAAGAUUGGCGCAAGUGCAUGACGUCUUUCACGUGUCGAUGUUGAGGAAGUACGAGCCUGACUCGACUCACGUGCUCAAUUUUGAAGAAUUGGACGUGGAUGACCGUGUGUCAUACGUUGAAAGACCGGUCCAGAUUGUCGAUCGCAAAGAGCAAGUUCUGCGUACAAAGACUAUUCCCUUAGUCAAAGUGGUCUGGCAACACCACGGUACAGAAGGAGCGACAUGGGAGACUGAGGAGUCAAUGAGAGAGUUGUACCCCCACCUUUUUGAUCAAGUCUUGUAAGGUUUAAAUUUCGAGGACGAAAUUUUUAUAAGAGGGGAAGAGUUGUGACAUCCAGAAUUUUCAGUAUUGUUUUCUAUUAAAUUAAUCGGGCAUUUCAUUGACGUGUUUAUAAGGUUGUUCUCAGAGCUGAUCACUCUCGAGAUAACUAGACUAGCUGGGUAAGCCAUUAAAGAAUAUUAAGGCAAUAGACUUGAGAAUUCGACCAGGAAGCGGCUUCUCGACCGUGUUCAUCUUUAGAGGUCAUUACUGCACAGUAAAGAUCGAAUUGAGAUCAGAGAUAGGUCGGUUCGACUGAGAUGUGUGGCCGAUCGUGGGUGACUCCACUAAAUUGGAAAAUUCUCGUCGACCGGCACUAAUUUGAUUUUCUGUCGUUUUGGUACCCUGUGUUAGUAGUCGAGCCCUCGAGAUUUUCACGACAAUUGAGAGUCGCCAAUGUGUCGAGUGGGUUCACUGUGGCUCGAAGAAAAUCGACCACGAGUCAAUUGCCCUAAAAAGUUCUGAAAACUACCCGGUAGUCUAGGUCACACUAAAAGCACGCCGGAGUGAAAUUAACCGUCGAUUUGAGUCAGAUUUCAGAAAUCGAAAGUUCAGUGAUGUCACAAGCUAUUUUAAGAACGUCGACUCAGUCUCAGAAGAUUUUCGGAGAUUCGGGAAAUUUUACGGAAAUUGGAUUCGGACGUCGUGGAAGUUUGGCCGAAGUUCAGAUUGGCUAAAUUAAUGGGAAAUUGGACUUUCAGAUUGAGCCGUUGUGUGUCAGGGAUUUAUAGAAAAUCAUUUGGGAUUUUUCUACGUCGAAAUUGGACCUCAAUUUGGGAGUUUAUUGGAGAAGUUGAAGUCAAAUGGUGAAAUUCGUAUCAUCCCCUUCCCCUAGCCCAAAAUUGACCAAUUGAGAAGUUGUGAGAGUUGUUGGUGUGGCCAAAUGAAGGCCAAGGUUUAAUACUUGGCCUAGAUUGAUUGUUGAAGAUAUUUCUUGUGGAAAAUUGACAAGGAUGGCCCACCCUCUCUCUUAUCUCCUUCCUCGCGCACGGCUCCUCUUCAUUUGUUUCUCUGCGGUCUCAGCUUCUGCUUCAUUUUCUUUCGGUCAAAGUCCAGCCCAGCAAAGCCUCCUCCGUGUUUGUGUCUUCAUCAACCCACGAUCUGGGUCAAUUUCCCCACCGUGUGAAGUCCUUGGUUGACCUCUUGAAGCCUCGAUCCCACCGAGCUGGUCGGCCACUCACGCCAGCGAAGACCCCUGCAGCAGCUCCACCGAAAUUCUUUUUCUUCCGCUUCGUUGAAGAUUGAUCGUCCACGAAGCUGCUCCAAGCAUCCACGCGGCCAGCGCACGCCAGUCAACUCCAAGCCUUCUUCUCUUCAAUUUGUUGACCAAGCUGCCGCCAAGUUGAGCCAGCGAAGCGACGCUGAACGAAGCAACUCGCAGCCAGCUCGCCACCUCAACUGGUCUUCAUUCAGCGAGACCCACCGAGCGUCCUUCACUCUGCCAGCACACCAGUCAACACGGCAGAACGUUGUUGACUCCCCGGAGCCCACAACCCACCGAGAACUCAGCAUCCACGAAGCCACGCCCACGCCCUCAGCUCUCUGCCACUCGCCCGCUCAGCCACUCGUCCACGUAAAUUAAGCAGCGAUUAAAGCUGCUUCCCAUCCCCACGGACGUUCAUCGCCAGCUUGCACGAAGCCAGUCGCAAGCUCAGCCUUCAGCCCAGCAAAAUUCGGUCCAAUUGAGGGCCAUUUCAAGCCCAGCGAAGCCAGCAAUCUCGGCCCAAAUUUUCAGUCUUCAAGCCCAGCGAAUUUUUGUCUAGCUGGGCCCAAUCACCCAGCAGCUAAGCCACUUGAAGCCCGGCCCAGUUCAGUUUGUUUCAAGUCCAUCUUCAGCCCAAGUCCAGCCCGCGAAGAGGCCCAAUCGCAGCAAGCCCAAGCCCAAGAGCGAGCCCAGUGCAGUGCAAGAACAAAUCUCAGUUGGGCUGAGAUUUGUUGGGCCAAGCCUAAGGCCCGGUCCAAGUUCGCCGGUGUCGUCGAAAGUCCUAUUUCGGCCGCCGUCGCGUCGCCGUUGCGGUGAUUCGGUCUCCGCUUUUGCCAAGUGAGUUUUACUCACUAAUGCUUUAUUAGUUGGCUAAUUAUGCUUAAGGUUGGUUAGAUUUAAUUAAGUGCAAUUAGGUGGUUAGAUUAGGUUAGAACAAUUAGUUUAGUGACUUAAUGAUGCAUGUUAGGUGGUUAGACCUAGCUAUUAGCAAGUAGAAAUGUUUGGUUAUUUAUUGAAUGCAUCUCGGGAUUUUUCCCGACCCGUUUCGGGCUCCAAUCAGGCAAUAUGGGCCUAAAUUGGAUUUUUAAUGUUUAUUUAUUUAUUUUCGAAAUUUAUUUAUUUAAUUAAUUAUUUUUCCGGAAAUUCAACCGGGAUGGCCGGUGACCGGAAUUUCGUGCCGAUUGUCGUGGUGCAGACCGUUUAUUUAUUUGAGCUCUACGUUGUGUGGAAUUGAAUUUAUUGUGGAAUUUUAAGAAUUGCCCUAAAUUGUUUGUUAUUGAAUAUUUGAUUGGUUGUUGGCCGAAUAUGGGUAUAUAGCGCCAGUACGUUGAUGGGCUAUAUAGUAGGGAGAAUGGUGAGACCAAUCAGGUACGAUAUUAUUGGACAUACGUGGUUCGGUGAUUGGAAGUAUCACUGGCGAAAACGGCGCCUUAAAGAACGCACGUAAAUGACUUAUAGACACACGUGGUUCGGUGGUUAUGGGAAUAUCACUGGUGAAAACGGCGCCUUAAAGAACGCACGAUGUUGUCUAUAGCCGAUGUCACCUUGGCGAAAACGGCGCCCUUGAAAGGACACGUGGUUCGGUGAUCAAGGUUAUCACUGGUGAAAACGGCGCCUUAAAGAACGCACGGUGUCGGUGAUCGGUAUGUCAUUGGCGAAAACGACGCCCGAGAAACACAUGUGAUUUGGUGAAUGAGUACACCACUGAGAAAGCGUGGUAUGAGUGGGAAUGACCUAGAAAGGGUCUGACUGACAUGUAAUCGACUUAGUUGAUUGAUCAAUGCUUGAUCGGAUGUCGUGAAUUGUUUGAAUACUUGUGUUUAACCUUGAAUUGCAGGUUGGAACUGAGGCCAAGGUAAGUCCUCUGACUCGUGUUGUGCUUAGGCAACCGGAUGGCGUAUUAGUUUAUUAAUCGAGUCUUAGUGGGUAGGACUCGCUGAGACGUGGUCUCAUUGGUUAUUGAAUAACCAUUUCAGGACCCUGAGGAAAAGCUGAGGAGGGAGAACCUGAAGGGGAGAAAGACUUAAGAAGAAGAAGAAGAUCCAGAGAGGGAUCUUGAUUAUAACCCAGAUGUGGAUUGGGAUCCCAUCCUUUUUGUGAACCCUGUUUUAGUGUAGAUAGGUGUGAGACUUUUAUGCUGUAAAUAGUAUUGUAAAUAUACUAUGAGUGGUGAUGUUAGAGAAAGUGUGGUUGUGAAUUUCAAUAUGAAAAAUAUGGCCUGCUUUCCUAUCCCAUUGUUUUAUUGUCUGGGGAUUUAUAACUGCUUCCGC
rnacentral:lncRNA from 1 species